rnacentral:lncRNA from 1 species
GCCUUAUGGUUUGAAGCUGACUAUUGUGAAUGUAUUUACUCCACAGAGGUUGGCCAGUGUUAUUCGGAGCUUUUGAUCUUUCCCUAGGGAUUUGGCAGUUAAAGCAACACAGCAUGGUCUGGCACUAUGUGACUCUUGGCCCUCCCCUGAAGUCAAAAUGA